rnacentral:lncRNA from 1 species
UACUUUUUUUUUUUUUUUUUUUUUUUUUACAGAGAUGGGGGUCUUGCUAUGGUGCCCAGGCUGCUCUUGAACUCCUGGACACUCAAGUGAUCCUCCCAAAGCAUAGGGAUUACAGGCACCCCACAACAAAGAAUUACCUGGCCCCAAAUGUCUGUUGUGUUGAGGUCAAGAAAUGGACAGAAACACAAACUGGCUUAUAUUUAGACAACUUACAUUAAAUAUAACUUCUGCCAAAGUAUAGGUAGUCUAAGAAUUGAAAAUAUCAAGACCUUUACAAGUGGUUGGCACCUGGCAGGUAUACAGAACCACUGGGUCACAUAAUCCCCAGAGGCAACAUUCACACAGCGAUAGCAGUAGCACUACUAAAAGGAAAUGGUGUGACCAUCAAUUUGGUGCUUAAAAACCAUUCUUUUUACUGCAAUAAAACCCAACAAUAAAUGUUA